UAUAGUGGGUGGGAGAAGGUCAGAAGGAGACCUCGGGUUCUAAGGCUUAUUUCUGAGGCCUUACAAUCUCCACUAAUUCGAAGCAAUAAGGCCUUCAGUAUAUCAAGAUCAGUGGAUCAAAGAAACAUCUUCAAAAAGUAAGAGGCAACACAAGAUUCUCUCUGAUGAAAUGCUUAAGUAUAAGGUAAA